AUUGAACGCUGGCGGCAUGCUUUACACAUGCAAGUCGAACGGCAGCGCGGGCUUAGGCUUGGCGGCGGGUGGCGAACGGGGGAGUGAUGCAUGGGAACGUGCGCAGCUGUGGUGGAGAGCAAGGUGAAAGCCGGAUGAAUACGGCAUAAGAGCUGAGGGUGAAAGCGGGGGAGCGGGAGGCCUUGGGCUCUUGGAGGGGUCGAUGUCGGAUUAGCUAGUUGGUGGGGUAAAGGGUUACCAAGUCGACGAUCCGUAGCUGGUCUGAGAGGACGACCAGCCACACUGGGACUGAGACACGGCCCAGACUCCUACGGGAGGCAGCAGUGUGGAAUUUUGGACAAUGGGGGCAACCCUGAUCCAGCCAUGCCGCGUGCGAGAAGAAGGCCUUCGGGUUGUAAACCCCUUUUGUUCGGGAAGAAAUCCUCUCGGCUAAUACCCCGGGGGGAUGACGGUACCGGAAGAAUAAGCACCGGCUAACUACGUG
rnacentral:rRNA from 1 species